CAAUUGGCCUUCUCUGGCUGGGAAAGUUGUCUUGCUAAGCAAGAAGCUUUUAUCAAUCUUGAUAAAAGCUCCUUAUGCUAAGGGGCCAAGAACCCGAUUUCCACCUUCCUGAUAUACAAGGCACACAUUCGUAACUUCUUUUCAUUUGUAGAUGAAACACAAUUAGAACAAACAAGUAGCGUAAGAGAAAAGUUACAUGGCUGGAAUAAAUGUGUAAACAUUACAAAGUUUGGACAUGACUUUACAGGCGGUCUCACAGCGCCACCUAUCUACACUGGUUGGUAUUGCAACAUGUCCUUCAAGUCGUACACAGUGUGAUACUGUGCUGGCCGGAUGUUUGCGGGCAUUUUUAGCAUCUUUCUUGAGAGAGUCAAUACACUCCAAGCAACUCUGAUUUGCAGGGAGCUGGUGUAUCUUAAGAAGAAAAGCGCCGUUAAACGGCUGAAAUCAUCAUUGCAGUUCUGGUCACCACUGGCUGAGCUUGUCCAGGUAGACCCACGGGCCAGAGCUGACAUAUCGUCUUGUUGGGAGACUCGUGCAGUAGUCUCUAACACCACAGCUUAUGAUGGGCACCAACCUCUUCUGUACUGCUGUUCACGGGACAUGGAAAUACAAUGUCAGCAAGGCCACGGCAAGAUGCACUCCCUUGGCGAAGCAAUCUUGAUGCUGUUUCACGGUCCACUCUGCAAUGACGGGAAGGCGUUUCCAAAUCAGAGACGUAGAAGUGACGGCCCAGAAUUGCAUGGAAUGGCGCAGGAUGGUCCACAAGAGACGUUGCCUUGAUGCAGACCACUUGACACAACGAUGAAGAGACCUUAUCAAGUAUCAAGUCUUCCGCGGUGGUCCUCUUCGCCACGCGUUCUCUCCUCCUGUUCAGACGUUUCUCCAAAGCCUGCGCCUUCUCCGAGUCCCUGGGAACGAUGGCGUCCGUGUCGCUGGC